AUGAGAAAUCAUGACAUCAGGGUCCAGUUACAUUAAACCCCGACAUUCGGGGUUUUUUGUUAUCUGAAGAUGACCAUUCGGAUGGAUAACUGGGCUUUUAGGCCCUUUUUUU
rfam:Grimontia sp. AD028 Contig33, whole genome shotgun sequence.